UACAGAGGGUGCGAGCGUUAAUCGGAUUUACUGGGCGUAAAGCGUGCGUAGGCGGUUGGGUAAGUCGGAUGUGAAAGCCCUGGGCUUAACCUGGGAAUGCCAUUCGAUACUGCCCGACUCGAGUUCGGUAGAGGGCGGUGGAACUCCAGGUGUAGCGGUGAAAUGCGUAGAUAUCUGGAAGAACACCAAUGGCGAAGGCGGGUCUCUGGGCAGUAACUGACGCUGAGGAGCGAAAGCGUGGGGAGCGAACAGG
rnacentral:rRNA from 1 species